rnacentral:rRNA from 1 species
UACGUAGGUGACAAGCGUUGUCCGGAUUUACUGGGCGUAAAGAGCGCGCAGGCGGUCGAUCAAGUCGAGUGUGAAAGCCCCCGGCUCAACUGGGGAGGGUCAUUCGAUACUGAUCGACUCGAAGGCAGGAGAGGGUAGUGGAAUUCCCGGUGUAGUGGUGUAAUGCGUAGAUAUCGGGAGGAACACCAGUGGCGAAGGCGACUACCUGGCCUGUUCUUGACGCUGAGGCGCGAAAGCUAGGGGAGCAAACGGG